rnacentral:rRNA from 1 species
CCUACGGGAGGCAGCAGUGGGGAAUAUUGGGCAAUGGGCGCAAGCCUGAACCAGCAACGCCGCGUGAAGGAAGAAGGCUUUCGGGUUGUAAACUUCUUUUAUCAGGGACGAAGCAAGUGACGGUAGCUGAUGAAUAAGCCACGGCUAACUACGUGGCAGCAGCCGCGGUAAGACGUAGGUGGCAAGCGUUAUACGGAUUUACUGGGUGUAAAGGGCGUGUAGGCGGCAGUGCAAGUCUGAUGUGAAAACUAGGGGCUCAACACAUAGCCUGCAUCUGAAACUGUACUUCUUGAGUGCUGGAGAGGCAAGCGGAAUUCCGUGUGUAGCGGUGAAAUGCGUAGAUAUACGGAGGAACACCAGUGGCGAAGGCGGAUUGCUGGACAGUAACUGACGCUGAGGCGCGAAAGCGUGGGGAGCAAACAGGAUUAGAUACCCGGGUAGUC